GGUGUUUGAGGCCCGUGGUGGACUGCCAGGGCCAUGUACGGCGGCUCAGGAGGAAGUCCGGUGCGAAUCCGGCGCGGUCCCGCCACUGUGACCGGGGUAGUCAUCCCCGGGAGCCAGGAACUCCCACCGCCGGUCUCGUCGAA
rnacentral:ncRNA from 1 species